UAACUUCACAUGAAUUAUCUCAUCUGUAUGAGAAUUUUUGAAUUGUUUAAGCUUUUGCACAGUAUACUGAACAUUAUCUUUUAAUUUAAAAGAGGAGAAAAUUAAGUUUAUUUGCCCAUCACAUCCAGUGGAUGCAAAACAUUCGUGAUGGAUAAAACUUCUUUUUCUUUUUUUUUUUUUUUUUAAAGUAUUGUUAGGAGGUGAAUGAAAAACGUCAAAAUGUCACUCCAGCGUGGUUAUUAGUGAUGUACCGUAGAGGUACUUAGAAACCAAAAGUGUGUUGUACCAUUUCCUCAGAGAUAUCUUUCCAACGGACCUGAUUCCUGUAGUUUUCACGCAGACAUAUAUAUAUAUAUAUAUAUAUAUAUAUAUAUAUAUUCAAGUACAUACCAACGACUCCGCACACAAAGUCUCAUCCUGGGAGGCUGUUUUCGGCUCCUGCGGGAGGAGCGGUCGCUCGCCCCCGGGUGCGCAGCGAGCGGCACCGCCGCCGGCCAGCCCGGCGCUCCCCGCCAGCCCUCGCCCGCUGGCCGGGGUACCCCGCGCCCGGUCGGGAGCAGCCAGAAUUCCUCUCCCCCGCCGGACCCGGGUGCGUCCCCUCUAGCAAACGGCGAGACGUCUUCGGAGCCGCCGCACAGCUGUGAAGAUUUCCCACAAGGAGCAUUUCUGAGAAGGUCUGUAGUUAUGGUGAGGAGUCCAGAGGGAAAAAGAGACUUGCAAGAAUAAAAUAAGGUUUCACACCAGUAUCCAUUACAACAAGAUAGUUGUAUUAACAUUUCUGGGAAGUCCAUGGAAGUUUUCGGACAUGUGAACUUCAGACCUGCCUUCUGCAGGUGCCUGGGGCUAUGAAAUUCGACUUCACAUAUCACAUGAGGAGACUGACGUGUAAAGUAGUUCUGUGCCAGUUUAGAGAAGUUUGAGCUGGCAGAACAUGCCAAUGGCCUUACAGUUUGUUCAUUCUUCACAUUGACCCAGAGAAAAGCAGACAGGACUCCUUCCAGGUGGAGGAAACAGGUAAUUCUCCAAGCACAAACAGACCAAGAUGUAAUUCUUCUUGCAAAUUCAUCAAAAGUCAUGCAAACAAAAGUUUGCAAGGUGUCCUAUGCUGGCAGAGCUGCCCUUUGAAGAGAUAACCAUUUGACACUGCACUUACAAGUCAAGCACGAGCCAGCUUCUUCAAGUCUUUAGAACAAAACCCAAAGCAAUGUCAGCUAUGUGGAACAGCACAAACCUGCAUCCAUGAGCACUCAAGAGCAUUCACCCUCCCUGUGGCUGGACCAGUAGGACAUGAAGUCUGUCCGUCCUGGCUGCCAGCUGCUCUGCAUCACGUUCACACCAUAGUGCAUCUCUUCCUUGGGGAUUCGCCAAGUCUGAGCUGCUCCCUUUCCAGCCAAACAGCUCAUUUUUAUCUGUUGGUUUGGUGGCUUACAGCAACCCCCGUGAGUCAGGGUGUGAACAUAUGAACAUAUAUGGCAGCGAGGAUGGGAUAAGCAGGCUAAGAAGAGUGGGGGGUAAUCUCUUACUGGGUACGGCUGUAACCGAGAGAGGAAGUUAAAUCAGACCUUGGACAGUAGGUGUCAAGGAAUAAAUCAGGGCUCUUAAUUCAUAAACAUGGACAUGUAUCAAAUAGGAGCUCUUCCUGCCUUCACUCACAGAUUUCCCACAGAAUAUGGAAGGAGGGCAGGAAUCAGUGAAUGCUGAAUGCACUCCACAACCUACACACCCGCUGUAAAAGUGAAUAUCUCCACUUCCCUGCCUUGUAGAAACUGAUAUAAGCCUGGAAGGGUACACUGUGAGAGCUUAUACUCAGUGGAAUUUUCCACUCAGCUUAAAUACAUAUGCAUGCUGUGUGCUGCUGGGGUGCCCGCAGAAUGGAUGCAGGUAUAACAGAACAAGUGGCUUCCUCGAUGCUUUAAAAUACAGGGGGAAAAGUAAGAGGAGAAUGAUAAGAAAUGGCAUAUACAGCCUGUCUAUCGAAAAUGCUGUAAAAUAGCAUUUAGUCUGGGAGUGAAUGGCAGGAUUUCAGAAAAGACUGCUCAUCUGAAACCCCACACUUUUUUUUUCUUUAAUUUCUAUUUAUUUCAAAUUUUGCAGUCAUUAGAAUUGAUAUAAUAAUAAAAACCCAACACAAACCAAACUAAAAAAAAACAAACCACAAGAUUUCUUACACUGUCAGUAAAAAGUGGCACUUGAAUCUUUCAUUUUUCUCUGUGCCAGCCAUCUGCAGAUCUUUAACGUGGGGCAAGAGAAGGCACCUGUAACUAUCUGAAUAUAUUGGGGCAUGAUGCAAAGUGUGGAGGGCAACUGAUCCCAGGUUCCUCACUAACCUAGCUGAAUUGUCUUGCUUGAAACUCGUGGCUGCUGAAGAAAGAACGGCCACCGCAGAUACUCGCUGUCUUUCUUUCAAUUUAUGAUUGAUAACUGAUUUUAGAUUCCUGCAGUAAUAAAGAAAAGUGACUCCUGUGAAGUGAUGUAUUUGCUUUCUUGUGCCCAAAAUUUGGCACAGGAAAGCAAAUUAAAACUUGAGUUUCUUAAGAGAAGCCUCUAAAGCUGCCUUGCACACAGAAAAGAAAGCUGACAGAAGGGAGCUUGAGCCUCCUAUCUCCUCUUGCUGUCAGCUUCACGUCUGAAGAAAGCUUUACCUUCCUCCCAAAGGUCAGAUUGUCUAGUAAAAGCAAAGUUUUAGUUUCUUAAAUAAAGUUUCCUGCCAGGGUGCUUCAAACGGUGUAUUUUACUGUUCUAGUCUGUGUCUCUGAGCCCCAGCUUCUCCUUCCACUUUGCUAUAGAUAAAAAAAGCAAGUUGUGCUUUUUCCUUGCUGUUACCCUUAUCAGCAUUAUAAUGUGAACUUCGUUUUUCUGGGUUCUUGCUAAAACUUGAAGAGAUGACACAUUGUAAACAACAAAAUCUCUGCUGCUGAGAGUCAGUUUUGCAUACUGAGUUUUGUAUGUGCUAAGACUUAAAAAAAAAGUGAGAUAUGUCUACGGAUUAUGAGAUAUGAAAAGGAAAAUAAGGACAUUUUAUUAUUUAUUUUUAUUUUCCCCCCUUUUAAUUUUUUUUUUUUUUUUUUUUUUUUGGUGGGCAAAGAAAGUGUUUGUGUUCUUUUCAUGACCUCCGGGGCUAAGAAUAUUUUUUAUAAGAAAACUGGAAUGUUCAUACGAUUCUCAGACACCAAAUUAGGGCUUUAAUUAAAUAUCCAUAUCUACACAUAUUUUUGUGACAUUCUUGUAUAAUCCAUUUAGCUAACUCAUAUGAUACAGAGAUUUAUUUUAUUAUGCAGUUAUCUAUCUGUCUGUCUAUUUAUCUAUAUGAUAAGACAGGCUGUGAAAUGUUAUGGAAUGACAAUGCUUGAUAUUUAUGCUGUGCUUAGAAAUGUAAAAAAAACCCCAACAGAUAUUGUUCUGCUCUACCAGAAUCAGUUUGUGAAGGCAGAACUCCCUGCAUUCAAUCAUUUUGAAGAGGCUCUUAAACCAUUUCUUUCAGCUGUUCUUUAAUUAAUCCCUUUGUAUGAUGAAUUGCAAUAGGGCCUUCAGGCCUCCUAAGAAGGGCCUGUAAUUCUAGUGCCACUUUCAAGGUCUACAGCUUACACACUUAACAUGUGUUAGACAAGUAUAAUGUAUAAUAGCACAGAUAUGUAAGUAAAUCUUCAGGUAUUUUAGAAGCACAGAUGAGCCAAAGGAAGAUUAAUGGAAUUUGACAACAUAACAGAAAUGCUGCUGCACAAGUACAUCCAUCUCCAGGCAUUUUGUUAUGUAUUACUGUGAGGGAAACAAUCAGUGGAGUAAAAUAUCUCUUUGAUGAGUGUAAUUUGGUAACAAUUUGCAAACAUGAUAAUGUGCCUUCUUAAUUCAAAGGCACUUGACAGAGAUAUAUUGACAUUUUCAUUACAGGAGCUGUCAGGAAUAAUCUGGAAGAGACAAGUCUUAUUUGAAAAUGCCUACUAAUCUUCCAUAAUGUAAUAAUCUAUAGUAGUAGGGUCAAGUAAUUUUUUACGAUACAGCCUUUAAUCAUCUGUCAAGUACUACUUUUAAUUGCAGCUGAGCUGAUGAGAUGUAUAGAAAUCUUUCAGGGACAAAAUGAACAGCUAUAGCUCAGCUCUGCACAGUGCACCAUUGCUAAAGAGAGAGCAAUUCUCUGCCUCCACCACCACCUUCCUAUGAAUGAACUAGCUGUAAAAAAUAAAUAAAUAAAAUAAAAUAAAGGGUGCUGAGCCCAUUACAUGUAAUGCCAAAGAUCUGGUUAUGUCAUAACACAUAUGCAUGACAAACUGAAUUAAGAUUACAACAGAUGUUUUUGUGGCUUUUUCUAAUUUACAGCUUCUUGACUUUGCCCUGCAGCAUUUCUAAGGAGAUAACACUACACUAACAGCUGUAGAUAUACUUUCUAGAUAAUUGUGAAUGUCUAUAUGGGCCAGGACAUUUUUAAUACCAAUCAUUCUGACAUGGUUUGAGUCUCUGCCCCGUGGAGAAGGCAACACCUUGCCUGGGAGCUAUGAAGGUCUGCUCAGAGCAGGGUGAUCCUGGUGCUGAGCACUGCUUCCCUCAGCAGCACGUCACAGGCAUAUUGAUCACUGUUUUGAGUAGAUAAAUAAAAGAGCACAAGGUUAAUAGCCCCAAAAGUCAAAACUUCAUAGCCUGUCAGCCACCCCUAAAAGCUGCAGUUCUCCCUUGGUUUCAUACGACAAAUUUUGCUGUGUUCCCUGAAGGCCACUGUGUCAUGCUGCUGCUUGGUGGCCCUGUUCUGUGGAUGGGGCAGUUUCAUAGGGCUUGUCUGUCCAUAGCACACCAACAGCUUUACUGAUUCUGCAGGCUAGUUCUUCAAGAGUCCAGCUGUUUGUAAAAAGCAGGUAAAUCACAACCCAGUGUACUUUUCACCAAAUGAAAACUCCUUUUUUUGUUACCUCUUCAUGUGUAGGACUCUACAGUCUAAAACAAAGAUGCAUAGAAUGACCCUGCAAAUAAAAUCAGUGUAAUUCAGAGAAUGAAAUUAAUCUAUCAAGCCCUGGCUUUGUUUGUCACCUACCGUCACUGUAGUUUCUUUUCAUCUUCAUUUUUUGCUCCCCUUUAUUAUUUACUACAAAGAGUUUUAUUUAGAGGAAGAAAUAGAAAGAGGAUUUUAUGCAUCCAUUAUUUAAUGAUGGACUUUCAUCCUGGGGGAAAAUGGGCAAGAAGGAUUCUGAUGGCAGAGUGAAGUGAAUUAAGAUUAAAAAAAUUUUGAAAUUGGGCUGAGAGUUUAUGACUUAAUUUGCAUAACUUUUCUUUUAGUGUCAGUGACUUCUUUCCUGCUCCAUUGUUGGGGUUUUUUAUGUUUUCAAAUUUAAUUGCAUGUGUAUUAAUUUUCACAAUUCUGGAGCCAGCAUCCCUGUGAGGUCUAAUUUAAGGACUGUAUUUCCUCUUUGGAAAAUAAGAGACUAUUUCACAAAGAGAAGGAAGAAUCGAGACAAGAGCACCUUUGAAAUAGCAUACAUGGUUUCUUUUCAGAACAGCAUUUCUUUCCCAGGGCUUCUUGGGAGGGGGAGUAUUGUCUUCACAGGAGAUAUGACUGAAUACAAUUUUUGGAUUCUCAUGGGGCAGCACAAAAGACCAGAAGAGUCACCACCAGCAUUGCUCAAACUCGCUCAAGCAGACCUGAUGCACAAGGAGCACCACGGGGGUUCAUCUGGGCAGAGGGAACUUUACCCUGCUCCUCCACCUCGCUGGCUGAUGUGUCACGGAAAGCGCAGGAUAGCCUGCAUAUAGCUCUGCUGUAGUAGCAACUAAGCCAUACGUGAUCAGAGAUGUCUUAAUAUAUUGUAUAUACAAUGUAUAUACAGAACUUUAUUUUCCAAACAGAAAUAAUUUUAGGCAAGCAUGCUCCAUGCUGUUCAUUGCUGUGCUGAUGCAAAAAAGCCAUACAGUUGGCUGUGCUGGUUUGACUGAAAGUGGGUUAAUUUUCUCCAUGCAAUUAGAAACCUUUGUUUUUCAUAGCUAGCAUGCUCAUUAUUUGGACUUAGUUUGAGAACAAGCAGGUAACAUCCCAGCACAGAGCGAAUGUUUUUAAUUGCUCUGGUCUGAGAGGCAAGGACACUCUGAGCGCUCUGCCCACAGGUGUGGGCAUCAAGGAAGGGGGGCAGAGAUGGGGUAGAGCUUGACUGACAUCCAGACUGGACAAUAAGAGUAUUCCAUCCCAUUAGCAUCAUGCUUCAUAUUUAAGGAGAGUUUGGACCUUCAAGUUAGCUCUUCCACUGGCUUCUCAGGCACUUUCUCUUGUGCACAUUGGGGUCUUUUUUGUCACUCUUUUUUGUCGGAGCCAUGGGAGGUUUUGAUGCAGGAUGUUUAGUCUGGCUUUUGCCAUUUUGCAGGGGCCUCUGAGCCUUUCUGCCUCUUUCCUCUCUUUUCUCUCUUUGGGAUUGGCUUUGGGACCAGGCAUGGCUUGCUGGGACUCGCUGCUCAGUUAUGGACAGAGCUCAUGAGUAUCUUUUAUUUCUAUUUUAUAUAUAUAUAUAUAUAUAUAUUUACUAGUAGUGUACUAGUAUUUUGUAGCUUUAUUAAACCGUGUUUAUCACAAUCCAAGUUUUGUCCUUCCCUUUUGAUUCUCUCCCCUGCUGGGGAGGGGGUAGGGGAAGGGGUGAGUUAGUGGCUAUCGUGGUUGUAUUGCUAGCCUGGGUUAAACCAUGACAUUGGCAUAACAGGCAAUCCACACCAGCGUGGUCCCACAAAAGCCACACCAUCAUCAAAGGCGCUGAGCACCGUGUGAGUGUAAGCCUGAAGGACACAGGAUUACUGCUGGGUGAGGGAUUUGCCUUCAUUCUCCUCUGAAGCAUCACACGCAUCCAGUACCAGUGACCAGCAGGGCUUGGGGCAAACCGUAGGGCUGGUGCACUUCUGGCCAAGCCUUUGCCUCCCCUCUGCAGGCUGAUGGCAGGUGGGGUAAAGCAGCUGGGGGGGCUCAGCUGAAGGAUAAACAUCCUCUUUUCACCAGGGACAAGACAACAGUAUUUACAUCAAGUUUGACACUGCUUCCAAGAUAUGUUUCAACAAUGCCAUUCCUAUCUUCCUCUUCCUUUCUUCCUAUUUCUUCUAAUAAAAUAGUGCCAAACUUCCCUCCUAAGUAAAUCCUGUGUAUCUCCAUCUUCAUUUUCUUGCUUUCUUUCCUAUCAUUACAGCUUUCAGCCUUCCUUCCCUCUUCUGGAAAAAAUAAAGGCAAAAAUAAUAAAAAUCUUCCACAAGUGAGUAUUUAAAAAACCCCUUACUACUACAGAGUGAAGCACAGGGUAGGACAAACAAAUAAUUGUGGGAAAUGCACAUUGCUGCCCAAAGAUGCCUUUCAUGAAAAGACAGAGCAGCUUAUGGAUGCUGGAGUGCGGGACCCUUGUGAUAGUGUAGGACAUGCCAGAAAGCACAGAGAGGUGUUUGAAAAGACAGCAGGACUUUUGUGUGAUGAAGAGCCCUCAAGGAGUUGCAAACAUGCUUUAGCUGAUAAAACAGAGCCUGGAGUCUUCUGGUUUCCAGUUAAACUGGGAAGAGCAGAGUGUCCCCGUAUAAACAGAGCUCUAAACCCAACUGUGUUAUGGGCACAACAGGAUUACCUCCCCCACCUCUGCUCCUAAGGCUGCUUUCUCCUUGGCUCCUAUUUUCUUCACUGGUGUAAAACAACCUGGCUCCAUCGCAGUUAACAAGGUGGUACUGCAGCAGGCAAUUGGCUCUAGCCUGAAACCAGUGUUAUUUGCAAGGUGUCACUUGCUUCCUUCCCCAGCACCAAUGUUAGCUGUGAAGUGCUGCACACCCAAAUCACAAGGUGUUUGCAGAGCCUGUCACACCAUGGGAAAGCCUUCAAGUGCAGAAACAGGAGAACAGGUCCCAGUACCUGAAGGCAUAAAUUAUGUUGUGCCUAAGUCAAAGGAGAAAAAAAAUAUCAUGAUUCACGGCCCUAAUCUUGACUAGUUGGGCUUCUUUUGCUCUGCUGUGAAGAAGUCUCAGAGAAAGCUCUUCUGUGUAUAAUUUCAAAUUAAAUUAAUGAACAAAUGUAUGUUUCUGACAAGUGAAAAUACUACGUGUCUGGAAAGAGUAUGAAAGCAAAUGACUUUUCAGUCAGUUGUCCUCUGUGGGACUUAGAGGAGCUCCUGUUCUACCCCAUAAAAGUGUCUCUGGGUGAUUCUGGAUUAAGGAGUAGCCUUAAUCCAGACUGGAAAAUAUUAUUUUUUGUCGAAACACUAGAGAAACCCCCUCCAGAGUCAGAUACUCACAACAAGGUCCUUUCUGGCAUGCAACAAAGCCUUUAACAAAGGCCUUUCUGAGAUUCAUGGGUGCACUGAACUUCAGAUGCUGCUGCUUCCAUUUCUACCUCUGUUAGUCCUGCCAGUUGGCCUAAAAGCCCCGGGUCACAGCUCUCCUUGACAUACCGUAAACACCAGCAAGAUGUAGGAGACUGCAGACCAUAUGUGUGCAUGGGGAUAGGUUGAGAGAUGACUAAUCUAAGGCUAAUGCAUUCUUUUCUGACAGUAACUGGGAGAAGAAUUGGACUCCAAAGUUAUUAUUGAAAGGGUGAUUUUUGCAGAGCUGGGAACACUGACUCACUCCUGCAUUCCUCUCAGUCCCCAGUCUGCACGAUGUAGAGGUGAGGUAGAAGGAAGUGGGUGAUGUCUUGCUUUAGCUGUGAUAGAAAUAAGGGCUGUUUUGUCACUUGGAUCUUUUCCUGAAAAUUUCCAGCAUGAUAAGGGAGACUGCAAAUAGCAAAUCGCAAAUAGCUGGCUUCUGCCACAUAGAACAGAAAGGCAAAUUUUUCAUUCCUCUUACUUUCAGACAAUUGCCUAAAAUCCAUCCAGAUCAUACAGUCCCCCAAGAAGAGAAAGAAAGACGAGAUUAACUUACUUUCACGUGGUCUUCUCACACUAAAUCUAGCAUAGGUAGAGUUACAAGCAUCACCAUGGGCCAAGUUUAGUCAGGGCACAUAUAGAAAGAUACAACUUCUCCAAAUAAGACCUCUUUUUCUCUCUUUAACUUUUCUAUAAGUGCCACGUCUCAGCUCUGCUGCCAAAUGAGUGUGUUUGCUGGUGGAAAUGCUCCCAAUUUUUCUACCCGUUGUCUCACAGUGCAAGUGCUGUCCCACCAUUGGGACACCAUGCUGAAGUAACACAGCUGAAAUGAAUGCAGUUACAUUGGGAUGCAGCUGUGUUUACAGCAAUGAAAAUGCGAGAAACUGCAUCAUUCCGGCAAUCGAGGAAGGAAAAGCAAUUUUAAAGAGCUAUUUGGAAUGGUUGAUGAUUUUCUUUUCCUUAAGUAAAUUAUUAUUUUUACAGCCACACACCAAAAAGGCAAUUUUAAUCUGUCUAUAACUACAGGAAGACAUUUUGCUGGUGAUAUUUGGAAAUACUGUUGAUAAUAUUGGAUGUAGAGAAAGAGCAUUCCAACACAAAUGCAAAAAGUGUCAAACGUAGUGGUAAUAAAUUCCUCAAAAAUACUCUCACUAAUGCUUUGUGAAUGAAAACUGGGUCUCUGAACAAUUUUCAUCAGAAAAGUUUGGUUUAAAGUACAAUCCAGUUAUGCACAAAGGUUAUUAUGCAGUGUAAAGUUUUCAUAAAGUGUAUUCUGUCAAUAUUUGUGACCUCUCAUUGCAACCCAAAAUCCAGCUGGAAUAUAAUUUUGUGUGUUUUUCUGAAAAAGAAGAAGUUGCAUUUGGAAACAUGAUCCCUGGUAGCUGUACAUUUAAGGCCACAAAUUCCAUUUUUGUGUUGAGUUGGAUUACACCACCAGACUAAAUCAUACAUUUAUACUCCUCCAAGAGAUAAGUUGGGAAUGCAAGGAAAGCUUAAAAAACCUGCUCCAGAAAAAAAAACAAAAACCAAAACAACAACAAACACCAAGUACAAUGUUUCAAGGCUUUCUUUUCAUUAGAAAUUAAAUGAGUCGUAAGUAUGUAAACAGUAAGCAAAUGAAGAACAGAGCAGCACAAGAGACAAGUGAUUGUAUCUUCUGUUACUUCACCUUAUGAACUCAACAAAAGGCCAUCUCAGCCUUUACUGAAGAGUCACUAGCAUAGGUAGACUUCUCCAGUUCCAAAAGCCAAGCUUUAAAGAAGAUUUGGAUGCAUAUCCAGAUGGGGGAAUCAGUGUGAACAAGUACUUGUUUCUCCAAUGCU